CUUGCGCCCCUUGGUAUCCCGAGGGGCAUGCCUGUUCGAGCGUCAUU
rnacentral:rRNA from 1 species